GAUGAACGCUGGCGGCGUGCCUAAUACAUGCAAGUCGAGCGAACAGACGAGGAUCUUCCUCUUCUGACGUUAUCGUCGGACGGGUGAGUAACAAGUGGAUCACCUAUCUAUAAGACUGGACUUACUUCGGGAACCCGGAGCUAGUACCGGAUAAUCUAUUGAACCGCAUGGUUCAAUAGUGAAAGGAGGAUUUGCUGUCACUUAUAGAUGGUUCGGUGCCGCCUUAGCUAGUUGGUAAGGUAAUGGUUUCCCAAGGCAACGGCGGGGAGUCGACCUGGGGGUGUGAGCGGCCACACUGGAACUGAGACACGGUCCAGACUCCUACGGGAGGCAGCAGUAGGAGAUCUUCCGCAAUGGGCGAAAGCCUGACGGAGCAGCGCCGCGUGAGUGAUGAAGGUCUUCGGAUCGUAGAACUCUGUUAUUAGGGAAGAACAAAUGUGUAAGUAACUAUGCACGUCUUGACGGUACCUAAUCAGAAAGCCACGGCUAACUACGUG
rnacentral:rRNA from 1 species